rnacentral:rRNA from 1 species
CCCUUAGAUGUUCUGGGCCGCACGCGCGCUACACUGUUCGACGCAGCGAGUCUUAACCUUGACCGAAAGGUUUGGGUAAUCUUCAGCAAAGUCGAACGUGAUGGGGAUCGAUCAUUGCAAUUAUUGAUCGUGAACGAGGAAUUCCUAGUAAGUGCAAGUCAUCAGCUUGCGCUGAUUACGUCCCUGCCCUUUGUACACACCGCCCGUCGCUACUACCGAUUGAAUGGUUUAGUGAGAUCUCUGGAUUGACGCUGGCUAGGGGGCGACCCUUGGCCAGGCUGUCGAGAAACUGCUCAAACUUGAUCAUUUUGAGGAAGUAAAAGUCGUAACA